rnacentral:rRNA from 1 species
UCAUCGUAGGGUUAGUCGGGUCCUAAGCUGAGUCCGAAAGGGGUAAGCGAUGGAAAAUCGGUUAAUAUUCCGAUACCAACUAUAGAGCGUGAUGGGAGGACGCAUAGGGCUGUGUGAGGUCACUGAUGGAAUAGUGGCUCGAAGGGUGUAGGCUGGGAGAGAAAGGAAAAUCCACUCUCCUAUAGCUGAGACCUGACAGGCUGUGGAGGCUUUUAGGAGCCAAAAUAGAAUCACAGAUGCCGAAGUGCCAAGAAAAGUCUCUAAGCAUAUCUAUAGUUGCCCGUACCGUAAACCGACACAGGUGGGUGAGAUGAGAAUUCUAAGGCGCGUGGAAGAACCAUUGUUAAGGAACUCUGCAAACUAGCACCGUAUCUUCGGUAUAAGGUGUGCCUACUUAGGUGAAGCUCCUAGCGAGUGGAGCCUGAGAGGUUGCAACAAAGAGUCCCUCCCGACUGUUUAC